CACAUGCCCUGACCAGGUCCGGGGAUCAAGCCUGUAACAGAGGUACGUGCCUUUGACGGGAAUCAAACCCGGGACCCUCAGUCCAUGGGCCCAUGCUCUAUCCACGGAGCCAAACUGCCUAGGGCAGGGAGGGUGGUUAUCUUCAUGAGAAGGGGUUCAAUGGGAGGAAUGCCCUCCCCAAGGUCACACAGCUGGCACAGCUUUGACCCGCAGGAACUGGAGUCUGUUUUCAGACCCUGGUGGCUGUAGCAAUUCAGUCCUUGUGGCUGCCAGCUCACCUGUGCUCACCUGUACACUGGCACCAGGAAUGGGAAGGAAGGUAUGUUAGCCAGUGACCAGAGGCUUGGCUCUUACACCAUGGGCUUCUCAGGGUCAGGACCAAGGUCAGAUUCACUUUCAUGGUCCCCCAGCAAGUGAUUGGGAGUGGGACUAGGUGGAUGGACUGAUAGAUGGCCGGUCGGUGGCUCAUCACAAGGUGGAGGUGACGGCAGCCUUCGGUAAUCUGGUGAUUAUACCUUUAAAUGCUGUAAUAAUAUAGUAACUGAGAUUGUGUCUUCAUAAUAAAUUUUCAUAUUAAUUCAAAGAAUCUUCAGAGCAACCCGAGGCCCAAGAAAAUUCAACUAGUGACAGAUAAGACCAGCUACAUAAUUUGUUGUGCAAAAGUAAAACCACCAAAAAACACCCUUAUUGUAAAAAAUAUUAAGAUGGUGACAAGCAAUGGAGGAGCCUCUCUGAGUGAGAGGGUCCCUGUGUGCCUGCUGGGUGUCACGCCUGUGAAGCUGGGGCCCGGGAGAGAGACCUGAGACAUGAGCCUGGGCAGUCUGGCUCCAGAGCCUGAGUCCUUAAGUGCGAAGCUAUCCUUUCUUCCCACACUGGGCAUGGGUUCAAAAUCCUUAUCUGGGCGUGUCUCUAAAGUCAAGGCCAGAGGCACCCAUGUGGCUGAGGGUGAUUCUCUGCUGCCCUCGUGUGUUCAGCAUCCAUAUAGCCACACCUGCUUCAGGGGUGGAGCCAGGACCGUAACCCCAGACCAAGACUCCCAGCAAAGUGCCCAGAUAGCAGGGACUGCCUGUUAGGGCUAGGGCUGGGGUUAGAGUUAGGGCUAGGGUGAGGGCACAAAGUUAGGGUUAGGGCUAGUGCUAGGGUUAGGGCUAGGGUUAUAUUUAAUGUUAGGGCUAGGGCUAGUGUUUCGGUUAGAUUUGUGUGUUAGGGUCAUGGGUCAGAGAGUAAAGCUCAUAGAUCAAAGUUCAGAAGUCAAAGGUCAAAUUUCAAGGUGAGUGUAAACAUUAAAGGUAUAAGGUCAUUGGUCAAAGGCUCAAUGUCAAAGGGUCAGAAGUAAAAGGUUGGGGUCAAAGGUCACGGGUUGAUGGAAAUGGGUCAAAGGUCAGAGUUCAGAAGUCAAUGGUUAAGGUCAGAAGUAAAAGGCUAGGGUUAGGGUUAUGGUUUAGUUUUUAGGUCUAGGGCUCCAGCUUGGGCUAGGGCUCAGGCUAGGUUUAGGGUUUAGUGGUUUGGGGUUGGGUUAGGGCUAGGUUUUCUGUUUGGUUUGUAUGGAGUCAAAGGUCAAGGGUUGGAGGUCAAAGAUAAAGUGUCAGAAGUCUAUGUAAAUGGGUCGGGUGUCAGAGGUCAAAGGUCAAGUCAAGUGCCCAAAAUGUCAGAUGUCAAAGGUCAAAUAUCAGGCCAAGUGGGCAAAAGGUUAUUGUUUAAUGGUCAAGGGUCAGAAGACAAGAGCCAAAGGUCAGAGGUCAAAAGGACGAGAGCCAAAUGUCAAAGGUUAUUAAGUCACCAGAUCAUCCUGGAAAGUUCUAUCGUAAGCGACGGGCUUCUUUCGUUGUAAAUUGAGCACAAGAACGUUGUCAGGGAGGCAUGAAACUUUCUACACUGGAUGGGACCUUUGAUUAUCUGAUCCAAACCUGCUUUUAUGGGCAAAGAACUUAAAAUGCACCCCCUCUCCCAGGAACCCAGCUGGUCAGCUGCAACUCUCAAUGCUGUGCCGUUUCGCCACCCCACACUCCCUCUGUUCUUCUCCAUCCCAGGGCUUUCAAAGGAAAUAAACAAAUGAAAUGAGCUCGAGGGGGCCUCUUGGCUAAGAAAUGACUUCUUUGGUAAGAAUGCUUCAGCCUCGCGUUACCAGGGCUGCAAAAUGGAUCCUCCCGCCCGGGCAGGAACCCCCUCUGAGAAUUAAGGCAGCUUUGGGGAUGUCGAUCCAGCAGGAUAUUUGGCACGAGCGGGCCACUCCCGUCUCCUCGGCAUCUGGAACGAAGGCCAGCUGACAGGUGGACGCCAAGUAUCUGGACGUUGUGAGGAGAUGUUACCACGAUGCCCUUAAACAGAUAUUGUACAUUUCGUGGAAAAUAAUUCUUUAAACGUCUUGUAAAGUAUCAAGUGUCAUGUACAAUACACAGGAGCACCCUUAUCCCGGGUAACCUCUGCUAUCAAAAAAAGGGGGGGGGGAGCAUGAAGAAGUCAAGCCUUAUGAGAAAGCACAUUACGCGGGGGUGGACGAUGAAUCGAGGUCUCCCCACGCCUCCCCGAGAACUUCCAAGGGCUUCCGGAUGCCUCUGCUGCCCCACCCCAGGCUUGGGAGCCAGCUUCCGCAGCGAGGCAGCACCGUGGCGUGGGUUAAGCUAGCACCGCAUCCCCGAUUCGCCUGGGGGACACGCCUGGAGGCAGAGGGGCCACAGGCAGAGGCGGCGGGAAAGCUGCGGGCGCUCUCCCUCCAGGCACCCUGUUCGGACACGUGGCUUCCCUGACCCUUCAUUUCAGCCAAGCAGACUCCGCUCUCUCACCCACUGCCCCAGAGCUGCUCUUGUCACCAAAAGACAGCAGCCACGUCGUCCCUUCCUCCCCGGCCACCCGCUCGAGGGGAAGAAAUGGCAUCGCUCUCCUCCCCCCUUCUCCCAACACCCUGUCCUUUGCUCAGAAACCCUCCUUGGCCCCCUGACCGCAUUUCUGUCCGCCUGUGAGGACAGCCUAGGGUGGGUGAGCCCCACGGGGCAGGGAAUGUCCAAGGGCCCUGGGCUGAGGGGCAGGGCAUCUGACUCGCGGGUCCGCCUUCGUAGCUGAGAAUCUGAAACGCCGGGCCACGGUUUUCUCACCUGGGAAAUGGGGAGACAGAAGCCAGCCCUGCAGUCCUCGUGGGGCGGAUGGGAGGCGAUGUGGGUGAAAGUGUGUUUGCAAAAAUCACUGUAACAGCCAGGGAGCAAUGGCCCUUCCUGGGGGGAUUCGAAGUCACUCGUGGCCCCGUCAGUGACGGGCCACCCUGCUCUCGUCCCCCAGGCCUCCACCUACUGUCCACUCCGAUGGAUGCUCCCAGCCUCCCCCACCUCCCCUUGCCAUUGGGCUGCCUGACACUGAGCUGGAGUUUCUAUAUGGAAAGAUCGAAAGUCUCCCGACUUCCCUCUUAUCUCUAAAGCAGGGGUGGGGAACCUCCGGCCCACGGGCCAUGUCAUUUGGUCUGGCCCUGCCAAGGCAACCUCAGGCAGGACUAAAUCUGGGGACUUUUUCACUGCGACAUCAUGUUUAAACUGGUAAUGUUGCGUGGCCCACGGAUGAUGUAAAUAUCCAAAUGGCCCUUGGCAGAAAAAGGCCCCCUCCCCCCAAAGAAUGCCCCGACGACCCUGGCUCCGCGGAAAACCAUCUCCCUGCCCCCAGCUGGCUCCCAUAGAACCUUCUUCCACAGUCAGCACGAUCCGGCUCGCGACACCCUCCCUAGGUUUGUGAAGUAAAGUGGCCUCUUUUUUCUCCCCAAGACUCUGCCACAGGGGCUCCCAGCGCCAGAGUAACAACCCGCCAGUCUAGAGUUCCAACACGGGUGCAAGAGACUCAACCCAGAAGCAGAAGCCCCACAUCGGGCGAGGCCAGUGGAACCCAUCAUUUCUCCCAACGAGCUGGAACUGACCACCCUCGCCACCAGAGGGCGCCACUUGCGGGUCACUAUGGAAGCCAACCCGGAAAUUCCAACCUGCUCCACCCACCCAGAAUCCGGUCCCCUUAACCAGCCAUGGCUCUGGACCAGCUGACCGCCAGGGGCCGGAAGGAUGUUCCAGAUGGCGCCUGUCAGACCCAGAUUAGCCAGAGUGAAAACCCACGGUGAGGUUUCUGUCUGAGGUCCCCAAAGCAUCUCUCCACGGACCUUCAUGACGGGACAGACACACGCGAGCUCCCUGACCGCGGGUCAGACACCAGAGGGCGGCUGGGGUGGGGGUGGGGGGCAGGAGACGGAGGGUCUGUGUGGCCACCCCUAAUGCAGCAGGCGUCUUGGUCGGGUUUGGGGGGGUGGCUGACCCCCUCAACUGGGUGGACCAAGGUUUCUUCUUGGCCCAAAGGACAAGCAGACGUGGUGGGGAAUUCGGCCCGAGGCGUGGGCUCUGCUGGGCCGGCUGGCUCUCUGAUUGAGUGCGACGUCCCCCCAACCCAAGGGGUUCCACAGAAGUCGUUGUUCCUGAUCCCACCUCUCCUCUUCUCCCCGAGGCUCACCAGUCCACGCUCACAGCCCCGGGGCCCGACGAACAGAAGGCGAAGGAAAACCGGGUCACAAAAUCAUGGGUCACGGGGACGGGAGGAAGGGGGGCGGGGGAGCAUCUGCCGGGAGAGGGAUCCCGGACAGCAGACAGCGUCUGGGUGGCAGCGAAGCGGGCGCCUGGACCUGGACGUUGGCGGGCGGGGCUCCCCCUCCUCCUGGGGCCGGGCUCAGAUGGCCAGCCAGUGCUGCAGCUGCGGAAAGACCGGGCCUCAGUGUCUGUCCGGGGCGGGCGGGGGUGGGGGGAGCACCCAGGGCCAGCUGGGGAGCAGCACAGGGGAAGCAGGAACCACCCCUUCCCUCCAGGACCCCGAGGACAUGCAGGCUGAUCCCCUCAUGGCCACCAACACCCCGAAAGGGCAAAGGCACCGUCCCCAAGUCACACAGCGUGUCUGCAGCAGGGAGCUCACCGGGACCCGCCCCAGCCCCUGGCAGGCACGUUUCUGAGGGGGCAAAGGUAGGACUCAGGCCACCCCGUCACUGAUGUGCUCACAGCACUUCCUUCAACAUAAGACGCCCUCAGCUAGCUUGGUGACUCUCCCGGGGGACAACUCAGUGCAGGCAGAGCUCAGCAGAGCUGUGGCCGGUGCAGGCCAGGACCCAGAUGCAGAGGCCAGCGGACGCCAGCAGGGGCAGGGGACAGCCCCACCCCGACCGAACGCCAGGCCCCCGGGAGCCAUGGCCCGCUGCUGCUGUGGGACUCUGGCGUGGGGCGUGGGAUCCUGCCCAGGGCAACCAGCACACAGCGGCCCCCCCACGAGCGGUCCGGCUGCACCCACCUGGAACUGCCUGACGUCCCUCUGGGCCACCAGGAAUGACUCCAUGCCCCUCCCAUGCUGUCCCCCGCGCCCCGCCCCCCCCCUUCGGGCCCCAGCUCACCUCCCAGAGGGAGCCCCGGGUGCUCAGGAACUUGUAGACGAUGUAGGCGGGCACCAGGAUCAUGGAGGACAGUGCGACGCCCCACCCGACCCAGUUGGCCCAGAGUGGGAAGAUGUAAUCAUCGUAGGACGCGAGCCCCCAAACUACACACCAGGAGGAAGGCAGGGCUCACAAACUUCCAGCACAGCCUCCAGUACAGGCCGGGCUUGAACCCCAUCAUCUGCUGGAUGUCGUUGCUGAACCUGUCCACCCCUGCGCACACACGGACAGGCCUGUCACCGCGGCCACCCCUGCUGCCCAGCCCCAGGGCCCCGCCCCAGGGCAGCGAGGCCACCCCUGGCACUUACUCCUGGGGACGGGCGCCCUGCUGGCCAGAACAAGGGAGAGGACACCCUCACGGAGAGUGUCACCCAUGUGCCCUCCGAUUCAUUUUCCAGAGGCAGACAGGACCCGGGAGGGGCAGGCACAUGCCCCAGGCCACACCCCAGGAAAGACUGCGAGCAGGACUAACCCUGGGAUGGGCCACGCGGGGAAGGAACGGUGCCGACAUGUGGGCACUCGGUAACGCCUCUCCCGUCCCCGGCAGAGUCGGGCGCCAGCUGCAGCACAGGCCCCACGUCUGAAUCUCAGACGGUGGACACGGCCUCGGCUGACGGUGAUGGCGAACCUAUGACACGCGUGCCAGAGGUGACACGCGAACUCAUUUUUUUGGUUGAUUUUUCUUUGUUAAAUGGCAUUUAAAUGUAUAAAAUAAAUAUCAAAAAUAUAA